UACGUAGGGGGCAAGCGUUGUCCGGAUUUAUUGGGCGUAAAGAGCGUGUAGGCGGCUUCACAGGUCUGCUGUGAAAACUCGAGGCUCAACCUCGAGAUGUCGGUGGAAACCGUGUGGCUAGAGUCCGGAAGAGGAGAGUGGAAUUCCCGGUGUAGCGGUGAAAUGCGCAGAUAUCGGGAAGAACACCAGUGGCGAAGGCGAGUCUCUGGGAUGAUGCUGACGCUGAGGCGCGAAAGCCAGGGGAGCAAACGGG
rnacentral:rRNA from 1 species